UGCUGACAUCAUCCUCUGACCUCCCCCACCUUGAUGACUGUGUUUUCUUUCUGUUUCAGCUCACUUGUGGGGACAAUGGUGUGAGGAGGAAGUUCAUAUGAAGAGUCGUCGUUUUCCUCUGCGAGGAGACCACAGCCUGCUGACCCCCGACACACACCCUCAGUCUGGGGUCAGGCCAGGACAGGAGGUGAGGUCGACCAGGGUGGUUUUGGUUUCGGGACACCUAAGUGACUCCCCGAUCUGUGGAUUUGCUGCAGCGCCACCACAGCGACGGACAUCGGCCUCUCCCACUCGUCGUUUGCGGUUUGAGGAUGAGACGGAGACGGAGGCGGAGACUCGUUACCUGGAGCGACAGCAGCAGACGAGGCGAGCAGGGCAGCGGCCCCCGAGGGCCCUGGUGUCCAAACAACACCAUAAUCCCCACCAGAACUUCCACAGUACGGCAGGGCUGGGGCGGAGAGAGGUGGAGCCGGCCAUAAGGACGGUGGGGCACAGUGAGCACUAUGGGACGGUGAUGGGGGUCAAUAUGGACCUGGACAGAGGGCGGAGCCCGAACCGGCCCCGCCUGAACAUGCACACUGAACUGCUUAGAGACACCUACAUCGGCUGUGUCUCCCCUGCCGACUCCUGCCAGGGACGGGCUGGACCUCCCUCUCCCCCCUACAUGCAGGAGAGACGGAGAGUCGUCCCACAACCUCCCCCCACCAGUGACCUGCCAAUCAACCCCUACUCUUCUGUAUCCUCCAACGCCCCCGCACGCUCCUCCUUUCUGCAUCGUACUGCUGUGACAUCAUCACUGCAGUCCCAGUGUGGGAGGACCGGUGACAGUCAGGGAGGGAAAGACCUGACCCAAAAACAGGACAGGAACGGGACAACCCAACACGGGCCAGGCCUGAAGGACAGAUGUCCCGUUGUGAAAGACAGAUGUUCAGACACCACCAGCAAGAACUCCUCCUCCUCAGGUGAACACAAGGCCCCGCCCACUUCAGGCAGCAGUGAUGGACAGGUCAAACAGCCACUGAGUGUGAAGCACCUCAGAGACAAUACCUCAAAUCCUGAAGACUCUGGGAGCAGAGAACAACCCUCUCUUCUCUCGCUGCAUCGUCUCUUCUCCACCGUCAAACUCAGCAGGGCCCGGAGCGGCAGCCUGGACAGACUCGCGUCAAAACCCCGUCCUCCAGAGGUCGACCACGCGCCCCUAAGUAGAUGGAGAUCUAACAGCCUGCUCAGGAAGUGAAGUCUCCAGCUGCCAGUCCCUCGCUGGUGAGCAGAGGUGGUAGUAACGAGUUACAUUUACUCCGUUACAUUUACUUGAGGGGCGCCUGUCUCCAAGAUGAGGAAGUCACCAGUUUCAGCCAACCAAUCAAAGCUCUCAGAGAGACGUCCUCACGUUGAUCUACGAUACUCAGGAGUUGAUGCUCCACUCACUGACUGAUGUCCAGGUCCCAGAGCAUCAUUCCUCCGCCCCCGUGCUCCACAGUGAGCAGGGCCGCUGCCGGCGGGUGAGGACGUCUGGAGCUUAUAGCCUCAACCAUCAUGAGUUCAGAGAUUAUCACCACCUUUUUUGUACUAGUUUUCCAAUUGUUUUUUUUGUUUUUAUUCAUUGUGUACUGUGUGAGCCCACAUGCAGAUCACUAACAUUUUAAGAUUCUU